AACUACUAGACAACGGGGCUUUACGUUUAUGACAGAAAAGGUAAUGGAUUGUGGUCUGGUCAAUAAACCUUGAAGAACCGCUUGGAACUGCCAAGACAGAGUAAGAAGUAGGUAAAAGGCAAUUCCUACAGGGGGAGAUUGCGACCACCGACUCAUUGACCACCUACUCAAAAGAAGACAAUGAAGGAAGAAGACAGAGUCUGCGCACUAAUUUACAUGAGGGGCGAAGAAGAAAGAGCCAAUCAUUAAGGAAAGUAACAAUGAAUAUGUAUUAGUUAAGUGUAUAAAUGUGAGAAUUUUUGAGAUGAGGGUGUGCUGUCUUGAGACAGGCACCCAUUCAUGCGCAUCAAUGAAAUUAAUUUGAAAAUACCUCAAGUCUGUGUGUUAUUGGCUUGCACACCGGGUAAACGAACCCCGUUUGUGGGAAAACACUAGGACUGUGUAGUGACUGUAACCAGGAGAACAAAGGAUGGAUUAAGCAAAGUGCGGAGUGGAUGUUUUGCCCAUUGAUAUUUUUAAGAGGUUUUUUGGUUUUUUUUUUUUUAAAUUACCAGGUUGUUUGUAUACUGUAUACCUCAUCACAGGUUAAUAUUUUUGUAUUUGAUUUCAUACCCUGCAGAUGCACAUUCCAUUGCAGUGUUUGCUAUAGUUACUGAAAGAACAAGUUGGAACAGCUCAUCAGUGAAAACUAAUUUUUAUGCUGCUUCUUCAGUGACUUGCUAAUUAAGGGUUUGUGAGAGUAUACAGUAAUAUUAAAACUCUGAAUGUGCUUGGGAAUUUACUCAUGGCAAGUGAAUACGAUGGCUUAUAGAUCCCAGGAAAAUAUAUGUAAUGGUAAUUUAGUCAGCCAAGAGAAGGAGGAGAUGGUUCAAGUUUCCCUGUCCUUUUCCAAGGAGCAACACAUCUGCCCAACAGGGCAGGACCAGACCUAGAGGAUUCUUGCAAAUUAGGAACAGCAUUCACAAUGAAGACAGACACUUCUGGAAAAGUGCGAGAGGUGCGUCUACAUUGCCAUAAGCCUCAAGGGAGAACUAAGCCCACGUUUCCCAGGUAUCUAUUACCAUCACUUCUCAGGCAGCUACUUCUUGAAAAAGAGCUUAACUAGACACCUACCUUCCCCACAGGUAUUUAUGUCUUGGGAUCACCUGUUUCUUCUGAAUUCUGUCCCCAUUACUGGUAGGAUUGAGGAAAACACUACUUGUGCUCCUGAAUCUUUUAGUAUCCUUCAAAGGGCCCUGAAAUCUCUUUUGAUCAGUCUUGGACUUUGUGUUGUGACAUCAUUAGUACCCAUGUGAAAGAGCAGGAGUGUGUAAUAGUCGAAAGGCUGUACUAAGCUCGUCAGUCAUCUGGUGACAUCCCUGAUUCAGGCCCCAGGGAAGCAGCAAACUUCCCUGAAAAGAGGGUCUAGUCUUCAAAUGGGUGCCUCUGUUCCACUCAGGAGGGAAUCACCUGUAAACAUAACUCGAUGUUGUUUCUUCUUGGCGCUGGUCUUAAUGCAGCUCUUGAUGUGAGGGGAUUGGUUGAUCUGACCUUGGUGGGAGUACUUGCACAGAUUCCUCCUCUUCUGUCUCAUCAAGUCCUUCAUCUACCAUACCCAGAGCCUCAUACCUCUUCUGUAAAGGUUAAAUGACUUAACUGUUAUCUCAUCAGAGACUACUUUGAUGAUGAAUCACAAUUCUCUAAUAGCAGCAUCCUGUCUGGUCUUAGGGGAGUGCUUACCAAAUGUCCUACUCUGUAUAUAUAUGAUCAUUAGAGUUUGCUGGACAUUUUCCAUGGGAGUACUUCAAUGAAAAAAAGUACUUCUCUGUAUAAUUAAUUGCAUUUAGCAGAAGCAGCCCUAACACUUCACAGUUUGAAAGCAAUAGCAGUUCAUGCUGUGGGUGUGCUUUGAGCCCUAUAAGAAUCAAGAGUCAAAGCUUAGGUAUUGCUGAAAUUUUAGUAACAACGGGCUAAUAACUGGCUGAUACCGCAGUUUAGACAGCACAACUGGAUUCUUUUUAAAGUGGAUGAUCAAGUGAGCUACCCUCAAUGCAAUCAUGUUUUAAUUACAAAGACUGAGGGCUGAUACCCCAGAGAUGUUGGACUUUUUGCUCAUUCAGUCAAAAAAAAGGGUGAGUAAAAGACCCUCAGGCAGCUUUUUCUUCUGACUCUAGUACAGGUGGGGUAUGGUGCUCCUUUACUGCUUUUCCCCGCUCGUGUACUAACCUUUCUGCCUUCUUUUCUCAGUGCUGUAAGUCUUCUCAUAAAGGACAGACAUUCCUCAAGGGGUCACUGAAUGUUGCACCUCUUAGGGAUUUUUAAAGAAAUGGGAGAGGGAGCAGAAGUAUUCAAAGUGGAUUGCACAUUUAGAUCUAGCAGGCCAGUUGUCUUGGUGCACUUUGUCUAUCGUCUUUCCACACUAUCUGUUCACUUUCAGAGGUGGCCACAGUGAAAUCCUGCUUCUCAGUUAUGGUUCAGCUUGAUUUGGUAACUGGAAGUUAAUAUUUAUUGCAAUGCUUCACAUAUCUGGUUCUGUAUUACAUAUGGUCCUUAAGGUUUAUUCACAUUAAGGGUGCCAUCAUUCUUCCUCCUGGGGUAAUAGAAUGGGAUCACUCUCUCUAGUGAAAGUUUCCUUCAUAUAAUCUUCCAUUACAGAGCCUUUGCAUCUUAUCAGAGGAUCUCCUCAGUUUUCCCUAAAAAAGUAUUUGAAGUUUUGCAAUUUUGUGACAGUAGACACGGUCUCCUUUGGGGGAAUUGUAUACAUGAACCUUGCUGAUUAUUCUUAUCUCAUGGCCCAAAUUAAUAGCCAUUGAUGCUCACUUUGUUGUUUGCCAGCUCAUAAAAUCUCACUGACAAGAGCAUAUUACUCUGGCCUCAGUCAUUUUACACUAUGCCACAACAGAUGCUAUUGUGUCUCAAAACUUCUAUGGUUCACCUGAAACUUCCCACUACCCAGAAAAAAAUGCUCUGGUGGUACUGGCGUUGUAGGUUUUGAGACUCUCAGGAACCUCAAAAACUACUGAGUUGUUCUUUGCCAUUUAUUUGAGGGAUCUGCCAUUUGAGGAGUUCAGAUCAGAAUAUUAAUUCACAUUCUCUGGCCUCCCUUAUGUCAUGAAUUUCCAAUAUUUGAAAAGAUGCCUAUAGCUAUCAGCAAACAGCCAUUAGGGAGUAUUUUUAGCGAUCAACAUGUGUCUUAAAAGAUACUGUGACAACAUAGUUCAUCCCUUCAUACAAAGCACCUUUGGGUUUCAUUCCAGUUAUUGAGGGCUGGCCUGCUUGCCACCCAAGAGAAUUUUUCUUAUAGGAUGGGUAAGAUUUCUGCAAUCUGAUAAGGAACGCUUUUGUACAUCUGGUCAACUAGAUGACACUUGAUCCUGCUACCAUGUUUUUCCCCCACCCUCCUGCCUGAUAUUUCAUCUUUAACUCAAGGUUCAAUAGCUAAUGGUAGAUAAUUUAGCAAAUGAUCAGUUGAGAAUAGGUCCAAUUCAGCAGUUAGUUAUGAAUAUACCAAAAAGUAUUUUUUUGGAUAUUCAGUCUUAUUUUUUAUUAGCUUAACAGGUUUAAGCUGCAAACAAUAUAAGAAAAAAACCCCCUCAACAACAAAAAAGCAAUGCCUUAAGACUUAAAUUCAUCUCACCUUAUUAAUUUAAAAUUCAUAUGUGAUU